rnacentral:miRNA from 1 species
CAUCUUGGAGUACUGCAUCUU